AAAGUAUUCAACUUGCGACUGUGAGCCUGCAAAUUAUCCUCUUCAUCUCCAUCAGAAGGGCAUCUAGGGUAAAAAGGAUCUUGUUGGAUCUUUCUGGAACCAACUAUUCUUCCAACUAGUUCAAGUGGUUGUUUUCAUAAAUCUUUUAGGCCUCAGUUCUAAAAAGAAAACAUUUCUCAGCAUCAUGAUGGACAGGGUUGGUGGGAGUGGUGGUCCAUAAAGGCUAAAGCCCAAACCCGGCUAAUAGGAGAAAUGUUCUUUCCUUUACGGAGAAUUAGUCUAAUAAAGUGAAUGAUUGUUGUUUACAAGUGACACCUACUUCACUGAUGACAUCUCUCACCAGUGGGGAGACUCUAAUCGCCUAACAUUUUCUUCCAGCAACAAAACUACUCCUCUGGUUGCUACGGUCUGAGGGGAGAGGUUCAGCUCACACCUGGGUCACACCUGAGGCCUUGCCUGAUGAGGUACAAGUGCUCUGAGGAGCCAGAGGAAGAAACUCCCUCCUGAGAGAUGUGAAAACUGAGGCUUAAGCAGUUACAUAAAUUUCUCAAGAUUGUACAGCUAUUGUAUAACUCAGGAAGAGAUGGUAUUUGAAUUGGGUGAAUUUCAACCAGCAGAGAUGGAAGAGGGAACUUCAAAGAGGAGGAGCAGCAUAGACAAUGCUGGGUCUCUCAAGGAAGCUACCAGUUACAGAGGCCAGAGAAGGCUUGGUGGCAGAGGUAAGUCUUAAGCUCAGUCUUGAAAAAUAGGUGAGGUUUCCGCUGGUAUAGAUAAGAGUAAUGAAAUGGCCAAAAUGAACGCAAGGGAGCAGUAUGGGUGGCAAGGAAAUGAGUGCACUGUAGCAAUUGCAGACCUCUUCAUUAAGUAUGAAAAUAGGGCAUUUGAAAAGUCAGCAGAGGCAGAAUUUUAGUUUUGUUGAUAAUGGUGGUGGGAUUUGGCAGGGAGAAGUGUCUUUAGGUAUAGUGAAGUUUUCCUCCUUUGGGAGAGUCGAACCAAGUUCACAGAGGAAAUGGAAAGGAAUGGUAUGGGGAGUUUAGCCUUUGAAAUAAAAAACACCUCUUCC